AUUGAACGCUGGCGGCAGGCCUAACACAUGCAAGUCGAGCGAGCGGCGGACGGGUGAGUCAUGUCUGGGAAACUGCCUCAUGGAGGGGGAUAACUACUGUGAACGGUAGCUAAUAACGCAUACGCUCAGAUGUGCCCCGAUGGGAUUAGCUAGUAGGUGGGGUAAGGGCUCACCUAGGCGACGAUCCCUAGCUGGUCUGAGAGGAUGACCAGCCACACUGGAACUGAGACACGGUCCAGACGCCUACGGGAGGCAGCAGUGGGGAAUAUUGCACAAUGGGCGCAAGCCUGAGACAGCCAUGCCGCGUGUAUGAAGAAGGCCUUCGGGUUGUAAAGUACUUUCAGCGAGGAGGCGUUACUCGCAGAAGAAGCACCGGCUAACUCCGUGCCAGCAGCCGCGGUAAUUC
rnacentral:rRNA from 1 species